rnacentral:rRNA from 1 species
GACGAACGCUGGCGGCGUGCCUAAUACAUGCAAGUAGGACGCAGUUGCGAACGGGUGAGUAACGCGUAGGUAAUCACCUAUUAGAGGUGGAUAACAAUUGGAAACGAACGCUAAUACCGUAUACUAGUAUAUGGACCUGCGUUGUAUUAGUUAGUAGGUAGGGUAAUGGCCUACCUAGGCAACGAAACAUAGCCGACCUGAGAGGGUGAUCGGCCAAACUGGGACUGGGAACCGGCCAAGACUCCUUGAGGAGGCAGCAGUAGGGAAUCUUCGGCAAUGGGGGGAAGCCUGACCGAGCAACGCCGCGUGAGUGAAGAAGGUUUUCGGAUCGUAAAGCUCUGUUGUUAAGGAAGCGGUACUUAACCAGAAAGGGACGGCUAACUACGGGCCAGCAGCCGCGGUAAUAC